UACAGAGGUCCCGAGCGUUGUUCGGAUUUAUUGGGCGUAAAGGGUGCGUAGGCGGCGGAGUAAGUUGGGUGUGAAAUCCCGGGGCUCAACCUCUGAAUUGCAUUCAAUACUGCUUCGCUCGAGUACUGGAGAGGAGGCUGGAAUUUACGGUGUAGCAGUGAAAUGCGUAGAUAUCGUAAGGAAGGCCGGUGGCGAAAGCGAGCCUCUGGACAGUUACUGACGCUGAUGCACGAAGGCCAGGGGAGCAAACGGG
rnacentral:rRNA from 1 species